rnacentral:lncRNA from 1 species
AUGGUUGUACUCUUGCAAAGACAUGUUGGCUGUCCUUGCCUCUGAGCCCAAUUUAGCCCUCUGCUCUGUAUCAGAAAAGCUGCUCCUUUGGGAACCUUAGUCAAAAAAGAGAUGGAGUGGUUCUGGAAUAAGAACAUAGAUUCAAACCGCCCUUUAUCUUGCCAUAGCACUGUCUACAGUUUGGCCUCUUCUCAUGACGAUGUCCAUUUGCCACCGUGGGUCUGGUAUUGCUUUGAGUGCACGGGUCUGUCUUUUUGGUAUGUCGGUGCUUUUGCUCCCUGGGAACUUUGAGUCUUAUUUGAAACUUGUGAAGUCCCUGUGUCUGGGGCCAGCACUGAUCCACCACAGCUACAUUGGCACUCCUCUUCCCUCUCAUGUAUCACACCUGGAGUGGGAUCUCACCCUUGAUGUGGUACCCGGGAAUAGCCUUGAAGAUUCCACAGCUACAUCAAUCUAGAGUGGUUAUCUUGGUUCUUACUGUGUUGUGGUCUGUAGGGCUGGCAGCCAUGUGA